GUGUCAGCCGCCGCGGUAAUACGGGGGGAGCAAGCGUUGUCCGGAAUCACUGGGUGUAAAGGGCGUGUAGGCGGGUUGGUAAGUCAGGGGUGAAAGUUUGCCGCUCAACGGUAAAAUUGCCUUUGAUACUGUCAGGCUUGAAUAGGCGCGAGGCAGGCGGAAUGUGACAUGUAGCGGUGAAAUGCAUAGAUAUGUCAUAGAACACCAAUUGCGAAGGCAGCUUGCCAGAGCCUUAUUGACGCUGAGGCACGAAAGCGUGGGGAGCGAAUAGGAUUAGAUACCCUGGUAGUCCACGCCCUAAACGAUGCUUACUCGACGUGCGGUUUUCGGAUUGUGCGUCCAAGCGAAAGCGCUAAGUAAGCCACCUGGGGAGUACGCCGGCAACGGUGAAACUCAAAGGAAUUGACGGGG
rnacentral:rRNA from 1 species